UAUUUAGGUUGAACUGUCAUGUGCUAAAUUACCAAACAUGUUUGACAGUCAAAGCAUGAUCGUAACAAUCCACAUUUUGUUUUAUUCAUAAACUACGCUGAUAUCCAAACACAGAAUUAUAGCUCCACCCUUCCGAAUGCAUGCGCGCUCCCGCGGCAGGGGAUACACUUUCUGACGGGGGUAACUACUUUGGCACGACACCUGAUGGUUUCUCCCUCCUGGUCGCUGUAUGCCACUGUGCCAAUUAAAUCACUGCUGUAACAGCGGUGCAGCAUCCGGCGCCGCUGUAUAUAUAAACAGGUGGCUGGCUUCACCUCAGUCUCAUGCUUUCCGCUCUGAACUCUCCUCGUGGAGGUGACUGCAGCCGGGCGUGCUCGAUCUGGCGUGGUAAAUCGGGGCGCACGUCACAUCGCUGGUACAGGCAAUGGGCUUUUCCAUUUAACUUUCUGUAAUGUGCGGCGCACGUAGUGACGGCUUUUUUUCCCGCUCUGUUGCGUAGCGACGGCUGUGACGCUGGGAGACGGGUCGCCCUGCUCAGCGUGCCGUGGGUGCAUCCGUGUUGGCGGGCAUAACUGCCGCGGUUGUUGGCAAGUCUCCUCCGCCUGCUUGCUGUCACGGCUAAUCGGGCUGCUGUGAAGCGUGUGGCCUGUGGGACGCCACCGCUUCCCUGGACUGGCUGCUGUUUCGGCUCUUUUCCUACGGCUGUUUCGGCUCUUGUCUUUUUCUACGGCUGUUUCGGCUCUCUGUGCAGCUCUCUUGUCGACGUGUUGUGUCGGCUCGUUCUCUCUGUGGCUCUUUGCUUCAGCGUAGUAGUUUUAUUGCAUUGUACUUUCGGCACUAAAGCCUUAGGCUUUGUAACGCUGUUAUAUCGCCUUAUAUUGUAUAUGCAUUUUAACUAUUGUUCUGUGGAGUGAGUGUGUGUGCGUGUUUUAUGAUUAUGUGUAUCGGUCUGGUCACCAGGCUUCUGUUAAGUUAGCUUUACUAAUAAUUUGUUUCUUUUGUGCAGGUUCGGCAAGCCUCGGCGGCAGUCCAAUCCCUGGUGGUGGUUUCACAAGUCCUCUUUUUCGUUGGUGUGUCAUGUCACAGGCAUACCCAUUUCUUGCAACAGAUGAGAAUACUUGGGACACAAAAGUUAAGAUGAGAGUGAUGACGUCACGUCUGCUCUCUCCAAACGUCCGUGAAUGAACGGAGCUUCUCGCCGGGUGCGGUGGCGCGCGCCUGUAAUCCAAGUUACCGGGAGGCUGAGGCUGGAGGAUCGUUUGAGCUCAGGAGCUCUGAGCUGCAGCGGACUAUGCCGAUCGGGUGUCCGCGCUAAGUUCGGUAUCGAUAUGGUGCUCCUGAGGGAGCCCGGGACCACCAGGUCGUCUAAGGAGGGGUGCACCGGCCCAGGUCGGAGACGGAGCAGGUCAAAGCCCCCGUGCCGUUCAGUAGUGGGAUCGCGCCUGUGAAUAGACGCUGUAGUGCAGCCUGAGUAAUACAGCGGGACCCAGUCUUU